AAUUUUUAGUUUGGAAUAGGAAUGUUGCAAAAUUCUUCUUCCCCUUUUUUGAGUUCUGGAUAAAGGAAGACUACAUGAGCAUAAAACUGUAUCACAGAAUCAUAAACUAAUUGAGAACAGAGUGAGCUUCUGGAGAUCACCGUUCAACCAUCCCUCCUGAAGCAGCAUCAGUUAGAGAAGGUUGCCCAGGACUGUAUCAUUGGAUUUUGAAUAUCCCCAAGAAUAAACUCCACAGUCUCUCUGAACUACCUGUCUCAUCUCUCAUCCUUCCAAUUGGUAUCACUGAGAAGAGCCUGGCUGCAUCAUUUUUGCAUCUUCCCAUCAGUGACUAAGCAUCUAAUUUGAAUCAACUGUGGGAGAAGAGAGGAUUGAAGAUGCUGUGACACCUGGAAACUGUCUGAAGGAAAACAAUUCUGAUACUCGUGAAGCAUUUGGUGUCUAUUGUAAACAUGAAUACAGCACAAAGCUUGACCCAAUUUGCAUGCAGUAGCAUCUAGUGACCCACUCCUAAAUCAGAGCAGUGCAGCUGCCAGGUGCUACAUGAGCAAUGAGGUGUGUGGGUUUGGGGUGCAGAGGUAGUUUUUAGUUUGAUGUUUUGGCUCUUCAGCUUAGAUUGCUCCUAGCCUUUUUAUAUCCAUAACUUGUUUUCCUUCUGCUAAUCUUUAAUUAAAUCUUUCUUUAAUUUAUUCUUUAACUAAAAACUCCUUGCAAACAAAAUAGAGAAGAACACAGAAAUCUUUCAAUCACCUUAAAAUAUAGUGGCUUAAAGACACUUGCAGACAACUGCUCAGCUCACCCGGACAUGUUUUCUUUCCUAGCUUUGAUACCAUGAAGUGCUUUGUGCCUAUUCUACCUGCUUAUCACUUAUUAAAAGCACAAUAGGAUGCCAUUGUGGAGAGUAUCCCAGAGCAUUUGCUCAUGGCUAUGCAGUUUGUCAGUGAGAUGCAGUAGAUAAACCUCACAGUUCUAAGUGCCAGAACAAACAAUUGCUCCAGACAUUCUAGAAAGACAAGGGAAAGAGAAUAUACAGAAAUACAUCAAAGAGGAACGAGAAGUACUACCUAUCUGAAGUCCUCCAUAUAUCUAGCUCUACGCCAUACUGCCUAUUAGAGUGGAAGUGAAUAUACAAUUAACUAUAUCUAGGAGGGAGAAAGAGAGGAGGGAUCAGAAAAUCCCCUUUAACCUCCCUUUUUCUUUUCCAGAUGGUAAACCUGCCUAAAGAAAUCUAUACAGAACAGAUGAAAUAUUUAACUUAUCUGCAGUUGCUCCACUGGCUAGAUUUGUACUAUCUGCUAAUGGUCUGUCUUAACCAGAAAUAUGCUGAUUUCCAGCCACACCUCUAAGACAAAGUGUCUUAAGUGUAUAAAAAUCAAGCUUCCAUUUUUAACAUUUUACUUCUGCUGCUUGGGAUCCUUAGACCUCAACUAGGGUUGAGUCUGACUACAUGCUGGGUGAGUCCCAAAAUACAGCUAAAUCCAGAGGCAUUUCUGUAAUCUGGUUCAGCAUAAGAGCUUGAUGGUAAACUGUCCUAGUUUGGUUUGUUCUUUUUCCCCCCACACUUUGUAAGCCAUGCUGGUACACAUGCUCUCACUCACUUAACAAAAGUUAGCAACAAAGUUUUGUGUUAAAGCAUGAAUUACAGUCAUGAGUCAUCUUGCUUCUGCCUUCCUAGUAUAGACAGGGAAAUGUUGUAAGUGCUGUGUGUUACGUAAAAUAAGGAUUGGCUUUUUUUUUUUCUGACCAGGGUAAGGAUUGUACAGCUUGGUUUUGCACAGAAUUAUACUGCCUAGAAAGUGUAUUUCUUAAAAGGGAAAAUUAAUGUAUUUGUAUGGCAGCCAGAUGUAUUAACAGAAUAAGCUUUCCUUCAGGGCUACUUGAAUGAAACGUGAAAUUCUAAAGUAAGAAAAGUAAGACAAGUUCUUUGGAGCACGAUAACUCAAGAGUUGAGAAAAUGAGUUCCUACCAUCUUAGUUACUUUCUAUUUCACAUAAGUUACUGCAAAAUGCUUAGCAAAUUGGGCUUAAAUUGUUCUCCCCACAUUUCAACUGUAGUUAAAUUAUAACAUUCUUUAUAAUACUUUGAACUACUGUUGGUGUCCCAGUUCAGUAUGCAGAGAAGACAAUCAGGUUGUAAUCACUAUUAUACUCCAAAGGUUGGUUUUAAUUAACAAGAGCAAAGUGAUUUUAAUGAAAAGGGGAAAGUUUGUUUAAACAAAAGCUAUUAAUCUAAAAAGGGUUCAGAUAUUAUAAUCCCAAUAGAGUUCUUAAAAAUUUUUAAGGAAAUAAUGAAGGCAAGAAGAACAAGAGGUUGAGAGUUUAAAGAAAUCUUCUAUUCAAAGUCAGCACCCAGAAGAAAAAAUAAGUUGCAAUCUCUGAAUUGAAAGUUCUCUACCUGUUCUCACUUGAAACAAGGCCUCCCUUGCAGUUUUGUGUCCCAAAACUUUCAGUUUUCUGCAGGGGCUCAAUAGAUUACGUAGAUUUAAUUAUCACAGUCUAUCAUGGUGGUCAGUCCUUGACAAUUAUAAUAGUGAUUUUUAGGGAUAAAACAAUCUCAAGAAACCCUAAGUGGAAUGAAAUACUUAGACAAAACAAUGAAAAACUACAUCUAGCAAACUAAAUCAAGAGGUUGUCUUUUUUCCAUAAUCUUCUCUAAAGUCUGUAGUAUAAAAUGGUAACAAACACAAAAUUGCUGUAACUACCAUAAGAUAUUGGAUCAAUAUUUUUUCCAUCCUUAGAUAUCAGUGGCUUUCCAUUGUUACAAAAGGGAUAGAUUCAAAGUUCAGCCUGUAAAUGCAGCUACAGUCUAUAAGGCUUAUUUCUUCUCUGCAGCGACCUGGAUCAGUGUUUAUCUUUAGAUAAUACAAUGGAGCAAAUGUUUUUGUUUUUUUUAUAAGCAGAGAAAAUGCAGUUUAGUCUCUAUCAGUAUACUAAUUCUGGAUUGGACACUAGUUGUUGUAGCAAAAACAGUUUUUUAGGCUGAAUAUGAAAUGUUUUCUUGUCUGAUUAAGAAACUUUUAUCUACUUCCUACUUGUCAUUUCAUACUUGCCUCAUUAAAUAUAAAGCAACAAUAGUUAUAUGCCUAGAGAUUAUCAUGCAGAGUUUCUUUGAUAGCUGGGAACAGCAGCAUUACAAGCAACUAAAGUGCAAAAGCAAGGCUGUAUACCUAGGCCAAUGCACAUUGUGUGUUCUCUGGAGAAAAUGACUUCUCCUUCUACUUCCCAUUGCUCAGCUUACCCAGCACGUCUCAAGCCAUGUCUAAUUACCAUUUCUACCUUUUAGUCAUACCAAAGAGGCACAAUUAUAUCAGACAAAACACGUAUCCUAUUUCUGCAUUAUUGAUAGAAUAUUACUUUACCCCUUCUCUCUGAGCUCUUACCAUAUCUAUUUCUUCACCCACAGCUUUGCAUCUGCGUGCACAUUUCUAGCUCACUAAAGGGGCUUCUGAUGCUUUCUUAUGACACUUGCAGAAUACAUUUAUUAUUUAUGGUUCUAUUAUUUUCUUGCUACCUUUCCUAUGCUUUUUUUUUCCACCUAUCACUGGAAUGGAAACACCUUAGACAUCAAAACUUGGUCUCACCCAUUUCUCUCAGAACCAUGCUAUUCAAGUGUGACUUGAGUAGAUGUAGACAAUAGAUUUAUGAAAUAGGAAAUGCAUAUUUUGCACUCACUCUGAAGCAUAAUGGAAAGUACUUCUUUUUCCGAGUAUACUCUACUCUAUUAAAAUUUUUUCUCUUUGUAAAACCUUAGCUUUCAAAUAUGCAAGACCAGGACAGCUUUUGUGUUUGGGAAAGUGGACAAAAAACAACACAGUGUAGUGCUUCUUACAGACUUUGUGUUAUUUCAUUAUGAUGAAUGAAAUUAUGACAUCAUGACAAUACGACAUUAUGAGUGGAAUAAAUAGAUCAGAGAGGUCAACCUAUGUGUGGUGACUGCUCUGAAUAACUCUCUGUGUUGCCUGGGUCAUCAUCACUCCAGAUUUGAAGUGGAUAGAUCUGAGACAUCUCACGUAAAAGACAGGCGUAUAAAGUUCUCAUUGUAUUUGAGAAAGGAAUGCCUAUUAAUUACCCUUUUCCUUUAGAAUUCUUGAAGUGCUCUCCAUAUUGUCUUUUAGUAGGUAUAGCUGGGAGAGAAGCCAAUGAGGAAGACCAAGAAGAAACAGGAAUUGAAAACCAUUUUAUGAUUCCAAAAAGCUACUGGCACUGUAAGAAUUCUGCUCUGACUUACUACUGGAAGGCUGAUCUAUAAUGCAUUUAAAAAGAGAGAGAGAGCACGCUCUAUCUUGCCCCUAGGUACACAAAGGAUUGAAAGCAAGGAUCAAAAAUGCAGUAUGAAGCUGCAUCUUUAUAUUUAGCUUAUGAUUUUAGAUUCAGCUUUUUUCUGAUGAAUUUUUGUGAAGUCUUCAUUUUGCUUCCAAAUAAUUAUUUCAACAAUAGCACUUAAUGCCAUAAGUACCAAGAGACAUUUUGAUGUUAGGCAAAAUCAGCCUUAAUAAAUGCUUCUACCUCCAAAGUUACCUUGUGCAAUUUCAGUUCCUUAAGCUGAAUGUCUGGUCCGUGCUAAGCUCUGAAGCAUCCCCUGAAUCCAUGAAGAGAGGUAAACACCUCUACGCACUGGAACACUUGUUUCAGGAGAGGUUGCCAUCUA